AACGAACGCUGGCGGCAUGCCUAACACAUGCAAGUCGAACGAGACCUUCGGGUCUAGUGGCGCACGGGUGCGUAACGCGUGGGAACCUGCCCUUAGGUUCGGAAUAACUCCCCGAAAGGGGUGCUAAUACCGGAUAAUGUCUUCGGACCAAAGAUUUAUCGCCUUUGGAUGGGCCCGCGUUGGAUUAGCUAGUUGGUAGGGUAAAAGCCUACCAAGGCGAGGAUCCAUAGCUGGUCUGAGAGGAUGAUCAGCCACACUGGGACUGAGACACGGCCCAGACUCCUACGGGAGGCAGCAGUGGGGAAUAUUGGACAAGGGGCGAAAGCCUGAUCCAGCAAUGCCGCGUGAGUGAUGAAGGCCUUAGGGUUGUAAAGCUCUUUUACCCGGGAUGAUAAUGACAGUACCGGGAGAAUAAGCGCCGGCUAACUCCGUG
rnacentral:rRNA from 1 species